rnacentral:rRNA from 1 species
UUAAGUUGCAGGGUAUAGACCCGAAACCCGGUGAUCUAGCCAUGGGCAGGUUGAAGGUUGGGUAACACUAACUGGAGGACCGAACCGACUAAUGUUGAAAAAUUAGCGGAUGACUUGUGGCUGGGGGUGAAAGGCCAAUCAAACCGGGAGAUAGCUGGUUCUCCCCGAAAGCUAUUUAGGUAGCGCCUCGUGAAUUCAUCUCCGGGGGUAGAGCACUGUUUCGGCAAGGGGGUCAUCCCGACUUACCAACCCGAUGCAAACUGCGAAUACCGGAGAAUGUUAUCACGGGAGACACACGGCGGGUGCUAACGUCCGUCGUGAAGAGGGAAACAACCCAGACCGCCAGCUAAGGUCCCAAAGUCAUGGUUAAGUGGGAAACGAUGUGGGAAGGCCCAGACAGCCAGGAUGUUGGCUUAGAAGCAGCCAUCAUUUAAAGAAAGCGUAAUAGCUCACUGGUCGAGUCGGCCUGCGCGGAAGAUGUAACGGGGCUAAACCAUGCACCGAAGCUGCGGCAGCGACGCUGAUGCGUUGUUGGGUAGGGGAGCGUUCUGUAAGCCUGUGAAGGUGUGCUGUGAGGCAUGCUGGAGGUAUCAGAAGUGCGAAUGCUGACAUAAGUAACGAUAAAGCGGGUGAAAAGCCCGCUCGCCGGAAGACCAAGGGUUCCUGUCCAACGUUAAUCGGGGCAGGGUGAGUCGACCCCUAAGGCGAGGCCGAAAGGCGUAGUCGAUGGGAAACAGGUUAAUAUUCCUGUACUUGGUGUUACUGCGAAGGGGGGACGGAGAAGGCUAUGUUGGCCGGGCGACGGUUGUCCCGGUUUAAGCGUGUAGGCUGGUUUUCCAGGCAAAUCCGGAAAACUAAGGCUGAGGCGUGAUGACGAGGCACUACGGUGCUGAAGCAACAAAUGCCCUGCUUCCAGGAAAAGCCUCUAAGCAUCAGGUAACAUCAAAUCGUACCCCAAACCGACACAGGUGGUCAGGUAGAGAAUACCAAGGCGCUUGAGAGAACUCGGGUGAAGGAACUAGGCAAAAUGGUGCCGUAACUUCGGGAGAAGGCACGCUGAUAUGUAGGUGAAGUCCCUCGCGGAUGGAGCUGAAAUCAGUCGAAGAUACCAGCUGGCUGCAACUGUUUAUUAAAAACACAGCACUGUGCAAACACGAAAGUGGACGUAUACGGUGUGACGCCUGCCCGGUGCCGGAAGGUUAAUUGAUGGGGUCAGCGCAAGCGAAGCUCUUGAUCGAAGCCCCGGUAAACGGCGGCCGUAACUAUAACGGUCCUAAGGUAGCGAAAUUCCUUGUCGGGUAAGUUCCGACCUGCACGAAUGGCGUAAUGAUGGCCAGGCUGUCUCCACCCGAGACUCAGUGAAAUUGAACUCGCUGUGAAGAUGCAGUGUACCCGCGGCAAGACGGAAAGACCCCGUGAACCUUUACUAUAGCUUGACACUGAACAUUGAGCCUUGAUGUGUAGGAUAGGUGGGAGGCUUUGAAGUGUGGACGCCAGUCUGCAUGGAGCCGACCUUGAAAUACCACCCUUUAAUGUUUGAUGUUCUAACGUUGACCCGUAAUCCGGGUUGCGGACAGUGUCUGGUGGGUAGUUUGACUGGGGCGGUCUCCUCCUAAAGAGUAACGGAGGAGCACGAAGGUUGGCUAAUCCUGGUCGGACAUCAGGAGGUUAGUGCAAUGGCAUAAGCCAGCUUGACUGCGAGCGUGACGGCGCGAGCAGGUGCGAAAGCAGGUCAUAGUGAUCCGGUGGUUCUGAAUGGAAGGGCCAUCGCUCAACGGAUAAAAGGUACUCCGGGGAUAACAGGCUGAUACCGCCCAAGAGUUCAUAUCGACGGCGGUGUUUGGCACCUCGAUGUCGGCUCAUCACAUCCUGGGGCUGAAGUAGGUCCCAAGGGUAUGGCUGUUCGCCAUUUAAAGUGGUACGCGAGCUGGGUUUAGAACGUCGUGAGACAGUUCGGUCCCUAUCUGCCGUGGGCGCUGGAGAACUGAGGGGGGCUGCUCCUA